rnacentral:rRNA from 1 species
CCUACGGGAGGCAGCAGUGAGGAAUAUUGGUCAAUGGACGAGAGUCUGAACCAGCCAAGUAGCGUGAAGGAUGACUGCCCUAUGGGUUGUAAACUUCUUUUAUAUGGGAAUAAAAUGUUCCACGUGUGGGAGUUUGUAUGUACCAUAUGAAUAAUGAUCGGCUAACUCCGUGCCAGCAGCCGCGGUAAUACGGAGGAUCCGAGCGUUAUCCGGAUUUAUUGGGUGUAAAGGGAGCGUAGGUGGAUUGUUAAGUCAGUUGUGAAAGUUUGCGGCUCAACCGUAAAAUUGCAGUUGAAACUGGCAGUCUUGAGUACAGUAGAGGUGGGCGGAAUUCGUGGUGUAGCGGUGAAAUGCUUAGAUAUCACGAAGAACUCCGAUUGCGAAGGCAGCUCACUGGACUGCAACUGACACUGAGGCUCGAAAGUGUGGGUAUCAAACAGGAUUAGAUACCCUUGUAGUC